rnacentral:rRNA from 1 species
UACAGAGGGUGCAAGCGUUAAUCGGAAUUACUGGGCGUAAAGCGCUCGUAGGUGGUUAAAUAAGUCAGAUGUGAAAUCCCUGGGCUCAACCUAGGAAUUGCAUUUGAUACUGUUUAGCUAGAGUAUGGUAGAGGGAAGUGGAAUUUCUGGUGUAGCGGUGAAAUGCGUAGAUAUCAGAAGGAACAUCAGUGGCGAAGGCGACUUCCUGGACUAAUACUGACACUGAGGAGCGAAAGCGUGGGGAUCAAACAGG